GUCGUAACAAGGUCUCCGUAGGUGAACCUGCGGAGGGAUCAUUACACAAAUAUGAAGGCGGGCUGGAACCUCUCGGGGUUACAGCCUUGCUGAAUUAUUCACCCUUGUCUUUUGCGUACUUCUUGUUUCCUUGGUGGGUUCGCCCACCACUAGGACAAACAUAAACCUUUUGUAAUUGCAAUCAGCGUCAGUAACAAAUUAAUAAUUACAACUUUCAACAACGGAUCUCUUGGUUCUGGCAUCGAUGAAGAACGCAGCGAAAUGCGAUAAGUAGUGUGAAUUGCAGAAUUCAGUGAAUUAUCGAAUCUUUGAACACACAUUGCGCCCUUUGGUAUUCCAAAGGGCAUGCCUGUUCGAGCGUCAUUUGUACCCUCAAGCUUUGCUUGGUGUUGGGCGUCUUGUCUCUAGCUUUGCUGGAGACUCGCCUUAAAGUAAUUGGCAGCCGGCCUACUGGUUUCGGAGCGCAGCACAAGUCGCACUCUCUAUCAGCAAAGGUCUAGCAUCCAUUAAGCCUUUUUUUCAACUUUUGACCUCGGAUCAGGUAGGGAUACCCGCUGAACUUAAGCAUA
rnacentral:rRNA from 1 species